rnacentral:rRNA from 1 species
GACGAACGCUGGCGGCGUGCCUAAUACAUGCAAGUCGAGCGAAUCUUUUGGGAGCUUGCUCCCUUAAGAUUAGCGGCGGACGGGUGAGUAACACGUGGGUAACCUGCCUGUAAGACUGGGAUAACUUCGGGAAACCGGAGCUAAUACCGGAUACUUUCUUUUCUCGCAUGAGGGAAGAUGGAAAGAUGGUUCUGCUAUCACUUACAGAUGGACCCGCGGCGCAUUAGCUAGUUGGUGAGGUAACGGCUCACCAAGGCGACAAUGCGUAGCCGACCUUGGAGGGUGAUCGGCCACACUGGGACUGAGACACGGCCCAGACUCCUACGGGGGGCAGCAGUAGGGAAUCUUCCGCAAUGGACGAAAGUCUGACGGAGCAACGCCGCGUGAGCGAAGAAGGCCUUCGGGUCGUAAAGCUCUGUUGUUAGGGAAGAACAAGUACGAGAGUAACUGCUCGUACCUUGACGGUACCUAACCAGAAAGCCACGGCUAACUACGUGCCAGCCGCCGCCGUAAUAC